rnacentral:tRNA from 1 species
GCUCAUAUAGCUCAAGAAGUGGCAGCAAGCGACUCAUAAUCGCUGGGGUGUGGGUGCAAGUCCUACUGUGAGUACCA